GCGGGCGUGGCGGAACUGGUAGACGCGCUUGGUUUAGGUCCAAGUAUCGCAAGAUGUGGGGGUUCGAGUCCCUCCGCCCGCACCA
rnacentral:tRNA from 1 species